rnacentral:lncRNA from 1 species
CAAGAAUGAGGGCAGUCUGGUCAUUCGGCAGAGUGCGAAGAUGUUGGCGUCCUGCAUGUGCCUUUCCUCUAAAUAGUGAAUGCAGUUAUAACAAGCUGAGCCAGCCUGGGUCAUGUGAAGACACUGCAUUUACUUCAGGGCAGACAGUCAUGCCUGGCAGUGAUGUAGAAGCUUCA